rnacentral:rRNA from 1 species
UUUUUUCAGGUUGACCUCGGAUCAGGUAGGGAUACCCGCUGAACUUAAGCAUAUCAAAAGGC